rnacentral:rRNA from 1 species
AUUGAACGCUAGCGGCAGGCCUAACACAUGCAAGUCGAGGGGUAGGAGCAGCUUGCUGCUUUGAGACCGGCGCACGGGUGCGUAACGCGUAUGCAAUCUACCUUGUACAGGGGGAUAGCCCAGAGAAAUUUGGAUUAAUACCCCAUAGUGUUUAACCUUCGCAUGUUGGUUAUAUUAAAGUUCCAACGGUACAAGAUGAGCAUGCGUCCCAUUAGUUAGUUGGUAAGGUAACGGCUUACCAAGACGAUGAUGGGUAGGGGUCCUGAGAGGGAGAUCCCCACACUGGUACUGAGACACGGACCAGACUCCUACGGGAGGCAGCAGUGAGGAAUAUUGGUCAAUGGUCGCAAGACUGAACCAGCCAUGCCGCGUGCAGGAAGACGGUCCUAUGGAUUGUAAAACUGCUUUUAUACAGGAAGAAAACCCUCCCACGUGUGGGAGCUUGACGGUACUGUAGGAAUAAAGGAUCGGCUAAACUCCGUG